GGUUAAGCGACUAAGCGUACACGGUGGAUGCCCUGGCAGUCAGAGGCGAUGAAGGACGUGCUAAUCUGCGAUAAGCGUCGGUAAGGUGAUAUGAACCGUUAUAACCGGCGAUUUCCGAAUGGGGAAACCCAGUGUGUUUCGACACACUAUCAUUAACUGAAUCCAUAGGUUAAUGAGGCGAACCGGGGGAACUGAAACAUCUAAGUACCCCGAGGAAAAGAAAUCAACCGAGAUUCCCCCAGUAGCGGCGAGCGAACGGGGAGCAGCCCAGAGCCUGAAUCAGUGUGUGUGUUAGUGGAAGCGUCUGGAAAGGCGUGCGAUACAGGGUGACAGCCCCGUACACAAAAAUGCACAUGCUGUGAGCUCGAUGAGUAGGGCGGGACACGUGGUAUCCUGUCUGAAUAUGGGGGGACCAUCCUCCAAGGCUAAAUACUCCUGACUGACCGAUAGUGAACCAGUACCGUGAGGGAAAGGCGAAAAGAACCCCGGCGAGGGGAGUGAAAAAGAACCUGAAACCGUGUACGUACAAGCAGUGGGAGCACGCUUAGGCGUGUGACUGCGUACCUUUUGUAUAAUGGGUCAGCGACUUAUAUUCUGUAGCAAGGUUAACCGAAUAGGGGAGCCGAAGGGAAACCGAGUCUUAACUGGGCGUUAAGUUGCAGGGUAUAGACCCGAAACCCGGUGAUCUAGCCAUGGGCAGGUUGAAGGUUGGGUAACACUAACUGGAGGACCGAACCGACUAAUGUUGAAAAAUUAGCGGAUGACUUGUGGCUGGGGGUGAAAGGCCAAUCAAACCGGGAGAUAGCUGGUUCUCCCCGAAAGCUAUUUAGGUAGCGCCUCGUGAAUUCAUCUCCGGGGGUAGAGCACUGUUUCGGCAAGGGGGUCAUCCCGACUUACCAACCCGAUGCAAACUGCGAAUACCGGAGAAUGUUAUCACGGGAGACACACGGCGGGUGCUAACGUCCGUCGUGAAGAGGGAAACAACCCAGACCGCCAGCUAAGGUCCCAAAGUCAUGGUUAAGUGGGAAACGAUGUGGGAAGGCCCAGACAGCCAGGAUGUUGGCUUAGAAGCAGCCAUCAUUUAAAGAAAGCGUAAUAGCUCACUGGUCGAGUCGGCCUGCGCGGAAGAUGUAACGGGGCUAAACCAUGCACCGAAGCUGCGGCAGCGACACUAUGUGUUGUUGGGUAGGGGAGCGUUCUGUAAGCCUGUGAAGGUGUGCUGUGAGGCAUGCUGGAGGUAUCAGAAGUGCGAAUGCUGACAUAAGUAACGAUAAAGCGGGUGAAAAGCCCGCUCGCCGGAAGACCAAGGGUUCCUGUCCAACGUUAAUCGGGGCAGGGUGAGUCGACCCCUAAGGCGAGGCCGAAAGGCGUAGUCGAUGGGAAACAGGUUAAUAUUCCUGUACUUGGUGUUACUGCGAAGGGGGGACGGAGAAGGCUAUGUUGGCCGGGCGACGGUUGUCCCGGUUUAAGCGUGUAGGCUGGUUUUCCAGGCAAAUCCGGAAAAUCAAGGCUGAGGCGUGAUGACGAGGCACUACGGUGCUGAAGCAACAAAUGCCCUGCUUCCAGGAAAAGCCUCUAAGCAUCAGGUAACAUCAAAUCGUACCCCAAACCGACACAGGUGGUCAGGUAGAGAAUACCAAGGCGCUUGAGAGAACUCGGGUGAAGGAACUAGGCAAAAUGGUGCCGUAACUUCGGGAGAAGGCACGCUGAUAUGUAGGUGAAGCGACUUGCUCGUGGAGCUGAAAUCAGUCGAAGAUACCAGCUGGCUGCAACUGUUUAUUAAAAACACAGCACUGUGCAAACACGAAAGUGGACGUAUACGGUGUGACGCCUGCCCGGUGCCGGAAGGUUAAUUGAUGGGGUCAGCGCAAGCGAAGCUCUUGAUCGAAGCCCCGGUAAACGGCGGCCGUAACUAUAACGGUCCUAAGGUAGCGAAAUUCCUUGUCGGGUAAGUUCCGACCUGCACGAAUGGCGUAAUGAUGGCCAGGCUGUCUCCACCCGAGACUCAGUGAAAUUGAACUCGCUGUGAAGAUGCAGUGUACCCGCGGCAAGACGGAAAGACCCCGUGAACCUUUACUAUAGCUUGACACUGAACAUUGAGCCUUGAUGUGUAGGAUAGGUGGGAGGCUUUGAAGUGUGGACGCCAGUCUGCAUGGAGCCGACCUUGAAAUACCACCCUUUAAUGUUUGAUGUUCUAACGUGGACCCGUGAUCCGGGUUGCGGACAGUGUCUGGUGGGUAGUUUGACUGGGGCGGUCUCCUCCUAAAGAGUAACGGAGGAGCACGAAGGUUGGCUAAUCCUGGUCGGACAUCAGGAGGUUAGUGCAAUGGCAUAAGCCAGCUUGACUGCGAGCGUGACGGCGCGAGCAGGUGCGAAAGCAGGUCAUAGUGAUCCGGUGGUUCUGAAUGGAAGGGCCAUCGCUCAACGGAUAAAAGGUACUCCGGGGAUAACAGGCUGAUACCGCCCAAGAGUUCAUAUCGACGGCGGUGUUUGGCACCUCGAUGUCGGCUCAUCACAUCCUGGGGCUGAAGUAGGUCCCAAGGGUAUGGCUGUUCGCCAUUUAAAGUGGUACGCGAGCUGGGUUUAGAACGUCGUGAGACAGUUCGGUCCCUAUCUGCCGUGGGCGCUGGAGAACUGAGGGGGGCUGCUCCUAGUACGAGAGGACCGGAGUGGACGCAUCACUGGUGUUCGGGUUGUCAUGCCAAUGGCACUGCCCGGUAGCUAAAUGCGGAAGAGAUAAGUGCUGAAAGCAUCUAAGCACGAAACUUGCCCCGAGAUGAGUUCUCCCUGACUCCUUGAGAGUCCUGAAGGAACGUUGAAGACGACGACGUUGAUAGGCCGGGUGUGUAAGCGCAGCGAUGCGUUGAGCUAACCGGUACUAAUGAACCGUGAGGCUUAACCUU
rnacentral:rRNA from 1 species